AUCGCGCGGGCCGGGAGAGGUGGGUGCUUGUCGCGCCCGAGCCGUCCUCUCUGGGUCCCGGCUCUGUCCAGCCCCCUGGACAGCUCCUCCCUGGGGGCCGGGGGAUCAUUCUCCUUACCCAAGCCCCAAGGCACGCGUUUGGGCCACGGCAUGGGAUCCGGGCUCCCUAGACGCUCCAGGGUCCCCGCCUGGGUGCUGGCGCCUUAAGUGUCUCCCUCCUCCCUUUUCACCCCACAACACGCGUUCACUUGGCUCCCUUUCACCCAGCCCCAAAUCCCCCUCCUUGUGAUCUGUGUCCUGCUUUAAUCUUGGGGUGCACGGGCACUAUAACGCUAGGUCACUUCGACCCCACGCACAGCACCUGGUAGGCACCCAGUAAUAAACGUGGAGUACUCGGAGAGGAAAACUAGGAAGGAGACCUGAGGAGCGCCCGCUCAAGCUCCCUGGACGGACGUAGGACCCAGGAGCAGGGUUUAUCUUCAGCUGCUUUGUCACUGCGAAACCUCCAGCGGAGUCCGCCAGCCAAUCUACACCAAUCCCGGGAAGGAUCUGACCCAACAAGACAAGGCAAAAGGAACAGGGCUGCCACUUUUUCAGCAGCUCUCCUUGGUUCGGUAUCCGAUUUUGAAAAUCGUAUCCUCAGCGCCCCCCAAACAUCCAAGUAGAACCAUUAACACCCCCUCAACACCUCCCAGAUGUCAGUUUUCUUUUUGACUCUAGCAUCUACCAUUUGGUAGCUCGCCAUGAAAAAAAGAAAAAAAAAAUUACCCGGGGAAAUGAGUUCCGUUGCCGAAAUUGGUUUUUGCUUGACACAAAAAUGCUAAAGUGUGGCUUAAUCUCACCCUAAACUAAAUGGCAAGUCUGUGUUAAAACACUUACUAGAUGAGAUAAACGAGUGGAUGAGGUACUCCAUUCUUAAUAUGUAGGUGUUCAUAUGCUUAAGCAUUUGAUGGCACUCAGAAAUAGAGUUGCUAGUGCACUUAAAAAACAAAAAUUAUCCAAGUCAUAAAACUGUAUUCUGUGCCUGUUAUGUAAUGGCUGUAUUGUGCAAUUAAAAUUUCCUUUAACCUUUGAAAAUAUGAAUGACUUUUGGAAUGCCUUCUCAGUCUUGAAAGCAGUUUUUCAAAUUAAUUCUUAAUAAAUUCAGCUUCUAGCACAGUCCUGGGCACAUGGUAGUUACAGUUUACUUAAUGGUGAUGGCACAUUUUUAAACACUUUACAUCACCCUAGUGAUUCAACUGUGCAAUCUGUUGCCAUCUAAUAUAAUUUAAAACCUCAUAUAAAAGCAUAUUAUUUGCAUAUACCACAGUUCAAAAUCUGCUUAAGGCAAAUUAGUAAAGGCUGCUAUUCUAUGGUGCGUCAUUAUCCAGGAUUGAUACAAAGCAAACUAGUCCAAUUAAAUGAUCAGCAUAAUUGGAGCUUGGCCCUUUGGGGUGGGAGUGUCAGAUUUCUUUUUUUGAAAAACUGUGUUAUAAAAGGUUUUCCAAAAUAUUAUAAAUGUUUCUAUUUUCUUACACAGUGUAUUGGAUUAAUUUAGCAUUUUCUUGAAAAGUCAGUAUCAGUUUCAUUAAAAGCAAUUAAAGGUUGUAGUGGACUCAAGACAUACUUUAAUUUCCUAUUCCUUCCCAAGAGUUAAGGACUUUCCCAGGAGGUACAUAAGCUAUAAUUUGCUGCAUUGAAGAAUUCUAGGAUGCUGUAACUUAAGUGAUGAUCUCUGCCUUUUGUAGUUCUUCCUCAUCACCACCCCUAACCCUUGACUGACACUUUGGUGUCUUUUAUCUGUUAACUGUAUUAUUGCAUUUAGUAUUGGCAGUUUCUAGUCUGGUAUAGACUGGUAAUACAGAUAGCCUCACUUGUCAAGAUUCUAUCUAAAGUAAAAUGAAUGGGUUUCAUAUAGGGGAAUGAAGUGCUCACCAAAAGAGUAAGGCUCAUGCACCUUGGUACAUAGACUUUGGAAUGGCUAUUUGAACUCUCAAAUGUUGAUUUUAAGAACAUUGUUGCCUCUUAACCAACUUUGAAUCAUUGAGAUUGCCCACCAAGCCAAGUAUUGGUACUGCCUUCCAACAUUAGUGUUAAAAUCCAUUGCCAUAUGUUAGAUGGCUUACCAAAGCCGACACUUAUUAAUUUAUUUGCUCAACCUCACAGAAAAAGAGUCAUUGAAAUCCUGAACUCUUUUUGGUAGUACAUUAAUUUUAAGUCAAUUUUAUAUCUCUUGCAGAGUUUUUAAUCAUGUUGAUUGUGUAGACUCUUUUGUUGUUGUUCUUUGUUUUUAAAAAAUUAAUACCUAAAUUUCCAGCCUAAGAGAAUCUUUGCAAAGAUAUUGAGACAUAUAUGUAAUAUAAGAAUGCCUAUACAGUAGUUUGUAUUUUGAAACCAACUCCCAUUUGAAUGAUUUGUGAUGUGAAAAAGAUGUCAUUCAGUUUGUACUUAAACAUGUAAGUAUUGUUAUUAGCUGAUGGUUUCUGUGGGAUCCGAUCUUUUAUUUCAGGCUCAGUAUGCCUGUCAUAAAGAUUUAGUGUGGGAAAGAUA